rnacentral:rRNA from 1 species
UACGUAGGGUGCAAGCGUUGUCCGGAAUUAUUGGGCGUAAAGAGCUCGUAGGCGGUUCGUCGCGUCGGCUGUGAAAACCUGAGGCUCAACCUCAGGCCUGCAGUCGAUACGGGCGGACUUGAGUACUGCAGGGGAGACUGGAAUUCCUGGUGUAGCGGUGAAAUGCGCAGAUAUCAGGAGGAACAGCCGAUGGCGAAGGCAGAUCUCCUGGGCCGUAACUGACGCUGAGGAGCGAAAGCAUGGGGAGCGAACAGG